AGCGAACGCUGGCGGCAGGCCUAACACAUGCAAGUCGAACGAAGUCUUCGGACUUAGUGGCGGACGGGUGAGUAACACGUGGGAACGUACCUUUUGGUUCGGAACAACUCAGGGACACUUGAGCUAAUACCGGAUGAGCCCUCAGGGGGAAAGAUUUAUCGCCGAAAGAGCGGCCCGCGUUAGAUUGGCUAGUUGGUGAGGUAAAGGCUCACCAAGGCUACGAACUAUAGCUGGUCUGAGAGGAUGAUCAGCCACACUGGGACUGAGACACGGCCCAGACUCCUACGGGAGGCAGCAGUGGGGAAUCUUGCGCAAUGGGCGAAAGCCUGACGCAGCCAUGCCGCGUGAAUGAUGAAGGUCUUAGGAUUGUAAAAUUCUUUUACCAGGGACGAUAAUGACGGUACCUGGAGAAAAAGCCCCGGCUAACUUCGUGCCAGCCGCCGCAGUAAUAC
rnacentral:rRNA from 1 species